rnacentral:rRNA from 1 species
GACGAACGCUGGCGGCGUGCCUAAUACAUGCAAGUUGAGCGCUGAAGGUUGGUACUUGUCCCAACUGGCUGAGCAGCGAACGGGUGAGUAACGCGUGGGGAAUCUGCCUUUGAGCGGGGGACAACAUUUGGAAACGAAUGCUAAUACCGCAUAAAAACUUUAAACACAAGUUUUAAGUUUGAAAGAUGCAAUUGCAUCACUCAAAGAUGAUCCCGCGUUGUAUUAGCUAGUUGGUGAGGUAAAGGCUCACCAAGGCGAUGAUACAUAGCCGACCUGAGAGGGUGAUCGGCCACAUUGGGACUGAGACACGGCCCAAACUCCUACGGGAGGCAGCAGUAGGGAAUCUUCGGCAAUGGACGAAAGUCUGACCGAGCAACGCCGCGUGAGUGAAGAAGGUUUUCGGAUCGUAAAACUCUGUUGGUAGAGAAGAACGUUGGUGAGAGUGGAGAGCUCAUCAAGUGACGGUAACUACCCAGAAAGGGACGGCUAACUACGUG